AUUUUAAACUUAAAAUUUAMUUUUUUAGUUAAAAAGCUGAAAUUUUAUUAUAGGACGAGAAGACCCUAUAGAAUUUUAUUAAAAUUUUGUUUAUUAAUUUAUUGAYUAUUAUUUUUAAUUAAUAUUAUUUUAAUUUUGUUGGGGUGACAGAAAAAAYAAUAUAACUUUUUCUAUUUAUUUCAUUUAWGUAUGAAUUUUUGAUCCUUUAUUAUGGAAUAAAGAUUAAAUUWCCUUAGGGAUAACAGCMUUAUUAUUUCGGAGAGUUCAUAUUGAUGAAAUAGUUUGCGACCUCGAUGUUGGAUUAAAGHUAGGUUUGAGGCAGAAUGCU
rnacentral:rRNA from 1 species